GUGCCCCCUUUCACUUUGCCAAUUGGACUUAUGUCUUCAUUGGCCAUUCAAGUGGGGCAAAGGAAAUAACCUUUUAAAACUCAGGCAAACUUAGUGUUUGUCAUGUAACCUGUCAGGGGAAACAUUG
rnacentral:snoRNA from 1 species